rnacentral:rRNA from 1 species
CCUACGGGAGGCAGCAGUGGGGGAUAUUGGACAAUGGGGGGAACCCUGAUCCAGCGACGCCGCGUGAGUGAAGAAGUAUUUCGGUAUGUAAAGCUCUGUCAGCAGGGAAGAAAGUAAUGACGGUACCUGACCAAGCAGCCCCGGCUAACUACGUGCCAGCAGCCGCGGUAAUACGUAGGGGGCAAGCGUUAUCCGGAAGUACUGGGUGUAAAGGGAGCGUAGACGGCUGUGCAAGUCUGGAGUGAAAGGCGGGGGCCCAACCACCGGACUGUUCUGGAAACUGUAUGGCUGGAGUGCAGGAGAGGUAGGCGGAAUUCCUGGUGUAGGGGUGAAAUGCGUAGAUAUUAAGAGGAACACUAGUGGCGAAGGCGGCUUACUAGACUGUAACUGACGUUGAGGCUCGAAAGCGUGGGGAGCAAACAGGAUUAGAUACCCGUGUAGUC